GCAAGCUCCUCCAUCAACGCUUUUCUUUCAGCUGUGAUCUCCUCCAUCAAAGUUUCCUGCUCCAUCGUGUUGUGCUUUGUGAAACUUCUCUUUCUCCAUUUUCAUUGAACUAGGUUUUGAUUUUCUCUUUGUUAGCAAAAUUGGGGAAGAUUCUAGAAUCUCAAUCGUGGUUUUCUCCAGAAGCUAUGGGGAUUCGACGUGGUGGUUGAAGGAAUUGGAGAAGAUAAUGGAGUGUCAAAGCAGCAAGGGUCAGAAGGUUGUGCCGGUGUUCUACGGUGUUGAUUUAUCGAAAGCUGGGGCGACGUUUGCAUACCGGGAACUGCUCAAGGAAGUUGCUUGCCUUCCAAGUUUUGUUACAUAUAUCAGAGCAAGAAUUUAAAGGUGGCCUUCACGGUAAUGCAGUGAAUAUGACAAAUCGAUUUGAAACUAUUUAAAGAUGGAAUCUACUUAAAUAAGAAGCACUUGAAGAUAGAGAUCAUCUUUUCAUUCAUUUGUGAAUCAACAUCAACUGCCAACACUCUUGUGGCUUAGAGUGAGUUGUUCAAUUCGAUGAUAGUGUCAAGUUCUACCCUCAGUGUACUUUUUGAUAAGCAGCCUUAGUUCUUUUUCCUAUAUUUAUGAUGAUGUUGAUCUGCUGAUAAUUUUCUUUUAUUAUUUUGAAUGUUGAUUAUUACUUAAUUUGUUUGAGCCUCUAGUGAGUGCACACUUGGUUUGACUUGUCUUGAUCAUUUUUUUGUUUAAGAGGUUGACAGGUCGAAAUGAAGUAGCUAUCUCAGCUGAUGACUAUAAAUUUUAUUCUCCAAGACACAAGUUUCGACAUGCUGCAUCAAUUUAACUUUCCAAUAUCCCUGAUAUCCCUAGUUUCCCAAGAGCUGACAAUUCUUCUACAUUGACUAUUAAUCAAGGAUUUCGCUAAGUUGCUUAAGAGAUUGGACUUUCAGAAAUGAAGUUCAACUUAUACUUAUGGGUUAUGAGGUAUGUGAAAUGCUAUUUUUCUGCACCUCCUUACUAUAAAAAAUUUGAUUGUGUACUUGCAAGAAAUAAAUAACACACUGGAUUUGCAAAUAUGCAUUUAGUUCUUAUAUUCAUGGAUAUGUUCCUUAUCUUAUUUUAUAUCUUGUUUAGAAUACAGUAGAAGCUCCUGGUAAUCCAGAGAUUUUGCUUUAAUUGAGAAGGAAAAGGUGUCGAUCAAGGAUAAGAUUUCAAUGUAAUACUCCAAGUUUAUCAUUAUUUUACUUUAACUGACUAAGGUUUUUCUUUAUUAAUCCAGCCUCCUUGCUGCUCUGCUGGUGAAGGAUCUUGUGUUUCAAAUGGAGCAUGCAAAGAUUGCACAAUGAUUUGCAGAAUGAUCGUCCCUCCACAACACAAUUUAAGGAUAAACUUCCAUGGUUUCUUAGUUCUCUGCAUUCUACUGAUUGUGCAAAAGGUGGUCAUGGGGCUUACACCAGCAGUGUAGAUCUGAAAGGUUUGGGUCAAAUUCAUUCUUUCAAGUUCUUUUUUUCUUGUUUAAUUCAAUUUAGCGAUGGGUUGAGUUAACUUGGAAGCCCAACUAGUUUAAGUUCCUAUGUGAGUACUAUCUGGGCUUAAUUUUAACAGAAACCUUCGAAAGAGUUAACUCUUUUUCCCAAUUAAUUGCUGGCUUUCACGUUGAAACUUCUUCUAGGCUAGAACUUUUCCUUCUAGUGAUUGUGACAAAAGAUUCUCAUUAUGGUAGUAAUCAAUUUCUUCAUGUGCUUGUUAUAUCUUCUUUGUUUUGUUUUGUUUUAUGUUUUUUUGUUUUUUUUAAUUAAUAAAAUUCUUCCCAUGCUUGUUUUAACAUGUUCUUUUCAUUGCUUUUGGUUUUCCAUGGCAAGGAUAUCCUUAAAUGGUGCAACAGAAUUGUAGAUUUAGGUUUUUGCUUUGACAAUAGCUUAUCGAAAUACCAACUUUAUUGUGGAGGGUACCAGUUUCUGCAGCUGAGACCUUGUAUCCCCAUGACAAACCUAUAAUUCAGGUUUUAUUUAGUGCAUUGUCUAUGCCAAAAAGUUCUCGUUGUUCUGCUUUAUCUUCUUAUUUCUAAUUCUGGAAUGCAAAAUUCUGUCACAGAUUUAAGAAUAGGUGGAUUUUAUUGAGGUUUUAUCAUGAAUUUGUGAAUGUGAACCCAUUGAUUUGUCUGAUGAAUUUUCAGUUAGUUAGCAGGGAACAUGAAGAAUUCUUGAGACUUGUCAAAAAGAAGAUGGCAAAAUUUUGGUGGAAGAUAUUUUGAAAAUGGACUGCCAGAAAGAAGAUACACAGGAAGAAACAAGAUCAUGAUAUUAUGUUAUUUUUCUUACUUUCAAGGUAUUAGCCAAGCUAGUUACCUCGUUUUAUGUAUGAGAUGUAUGUGACACACUACUAGAAAUUGGAGCCAAUCUAAGUGAAGAUAUUUAGAAUUAAAAAAUAUUAUAUUUGAUACUUUA